rnacentral:tRNA from 1 species
AGACCUGCGGGCCUACUUAAACCCUAAAUCCAACUUGCAAUCAGAUACUACUACAGAUC